rnacentral:rRNA from 1 species
AUAACAGGUCUGUGAUGCCCUUAGAUGCCUUCUAUUGGGUUGCACGCGUGCUACAAUGGCGGGAGCAGUAUGCGGAGGCCAAGCCCGAAAGGGUACGGCAAUCCUGCGAGGCCCCGUCGCGGUUGGGAUCGUCCCUUGCAACUGUUGGUCGUGAACUAGGAAUGCCUCGUAAGCGCGUGUCAGUGAUCGCGCGCUGAAUGCGUCCCUGCCCUUUGUACACACCGCCCGUCGC